GGACCGGUGGUGUAGCCUGGUUAACAUGUCUCCUUGUCAAGGAGAAGAUCACGGGUUCAAAUCCCGUCCGGUCCG
rnacentral:tRNA from 2 species